GGAUUGGGAUAUUCCGACUCCUUAAGGGCCUGGCGCACAUAAGGUGUGACCUUUUCAUUCCCGUUGUUAUGGAGGGCCACAUCUGCCAGAGCCUGGAGUCUGCGAAGGCCGGGACCCGGUUCCCCGGCCCACAGUGGGGGUGUGCAAACCCGAGAGAACUGGUCAAGUCUUCACCACUUGCUGGUUCCCAGGAGUAAACUUGUUUGAACGGUGACCUAAUUGCUAUAUUCACCUAGGUUGCAAAUUCGUGAAGAAUCAGCAUCAUGUUUGGCAGCUGAGUAUUGGAGCCAGGAGCCUGCCAUGAGGUUUUGAGAACAGAGUGCUGUUUUAGAGCUGGCAGCAGCAUCUCAGCCCAAGAGAAGGUUAUAUUCCCAGAGGAUGUCAGUCCCAAGGACCAGUAGCUGCCAUCAGUUUGGAUUCUGAAAACUAACUGGCAUCAACACUGGGUGUAGAAACAUGCUUGCCUUAUGUAUCAGAGGACAUGCUCAGCAGAUCCAAGAGAUAUAUUUGGCAACUUUUUCUAGAAAAGGCACAUUGGGUAUCAUUCAUUACAUUCUUGAGUUUUUUUGGGUUUUUUUUUUUUUUUUUGAGACAGUCUUGCUGUAUUGCCCAGGCUGGAGUGUGGUGGCACAAUCACAGCUCAUUGCAUCCUCAAUCACCCAGGCCUAAGCAAUCCUCCCACCUUGUAGCUGGGACUACAGCUCACAGCACACCUGGCUAAAAUUUUUUUUUUGUUGAGACGGAUUCUCUAUGUUGCCCAGGCUGGUCUCAGGCUCCUGGGCUCAGAUGGUCCUCCUGCCUCAGCUUCCAAAGGCACAGGCCAAGUUGUAGCUUUGUCCCUUGCCAUCAUGCCCAACAAGAGGUUCUAUACCUUUUAAUGAAUUGACUUUCAUAAAUUGGUUAUGUUGGUGGGCAAAGUUCUUUAAGCUGGAAAUUGUAAAUUCCUCCUGAAAUGUUUUUUCAUGCAGUUACCAUGAACUAAUACUACAAUAAAGGAUGGUCUUGGGUGUCAAUUCUUGAAAA
rnacentral:lncRNA from 1 species